CACUUUCAGUGAAUAAGUAUAGCCUUAAGUUUAUUAUAUAUUAAAAUCAUAUGCUGGUAAUUAGAUAUAAAAUUAUGAAGCAAGAAAAAAAAGUUAAUUUUUUAUUACUAUGUUUUUUAUAUCAUAAUAUUAAAUAUAUUUGGAUUAUAUUUUUGAUUCAUUUAAUAUAUACACCAAUUUCCAUGAGUGCAAGAAUUCAAUUCUCUGGAGACCUUACAUGCAUGAAGAUUGCACAGAUGGAGUUUGAGAAACUUUAAAAAUAAUAGAUUAUGUUUAGGUGUAUAUGUUGAUAAGUAAAUUUCUGCUAUUUUGCAUGCAUA
rnacentral:lncRNA from 1 species